UGCAAGUCGAGCGGGGGAGAUUGCUUCGGUAAUUGACCUAGCGGCGGACGGGUGAGUAAUACUUAGGAAUCUGCCUAUUAAUGGGGGACAACAUCUCGAAAGGGAUGCUAAUACCGCAUACGCCCUACGGGGGAAAGCAGGGGAUCACUUGUGACCUUGCGUUAAUAGAUGAGCCUAAGUCGGAUUAGCUAGUUGGUGGGGUAAAGGCCUACCAAGGCGACGAUCUGUAGCGGGUCUGAGAGGAUGAUCCGCCACACUGGGACUGAGACACGGCCCAGACUCCUACGGGAGGCAGCAGUGGGGAAUAUUGGACAAUGGGGGGAACCCUGAUCCAGCCAUGCCGCGUGUGUGAAGAAGGCCUUAUGGUUGUAAAGCACUUUAAGCGAGGAGGAGGCUCUUCUAGUUAAUACCUAGGAUGAGUGGACGUUACUCGCAGAAUAAGCACCGGCUAACUCUGUGCCAGCAGCCGCGGUAAUACAGAGGGUGCGAGCGUUAAUCGGAUUUACUGGGCGUAAAGCGUGCGUAGGCGGCUUUUUAAGUCGGAUGUGAAAUCCCCGAGCUUAACUUGGGAAUUGCAUUCGAUACUGGGAAGCUAGAGUAUGGGAGAGGAUGGUAGAAUUCCAGGUGUAGCGGUGAAAUGCGUAGAGAUCUGGAGGAAUACCGAUGGCGAAGGCAGCCAUCUGGCCUAAUACUGACGCUGAGGUACGAAAGCAUGGGGAGCAAACAGGAUUAGAUACCCUGGUAGUCCAUGCCGUAAACGAUGUCUACUAGCCGUUGGGGCCUUUGAGGCUUUAGUGGCGCAGCUAACGCGAUAAGUAGACCGCCUGGGGAGUACGGUCGCAAGACUAAAACUCAAAUGAAUUGACGGGGGCCCGCACAAGCGGUGGAGCAUGUGGUUUAAUUCGAUGCAACGCGAAGAACCUUACCUGGUCUUGACAUAGUAAGAACUUUCCAGAGAUGGAUUGGUGCCUUCGGGAACUUACAUACAGGUGCUGCAUGGCUGUCGUCAGCUCGUGUCGUGAGAUGUUGGGUUAAGUCCCGCAACGAGCGCAACCCUUUUCCUUA
rnacentral:rRNA from 1 species